AAAGGAAACCUAAGAAACGGGAGGGCAAGAGAGGAAGAUGGUGAUUUUGCAUUGCCUCUCGGGAUUUGUAGUUGUAACUAACUCUCCUAUGGCGUCUUGCCCACUGUGCGGUCCAGGCAAAUGACUCCGACAGACCACAUUUCCAAGGAUGCCCUGCGGUGCGUCCAGCUACGCUGCUGUCUUAGGCGGAGGGAAGAUGUAGGCAAGCUUGGGAAAAAUAAGAAUUAAGGGAGUGGGAGUCGCAGCGGAGGGUCUGAAGUUCACGGCGGCCUGAAGGGGAGGGGCAGUGGAAAAGCGCUCAGUAAAGAAGGUACAGAAUCCUUCACAUCAAAGCUCAUCAGUAAAUUCAGUAUGUACGAUGGAUAAAUGCAGUUGAAAUGUGGAAGAAUGAGAGUUAUCCUAACCAACUGGCACCUGCUGUCCCCUUCCCACCAGGAUGCCCAUUGGCGGCUCCACAGGAAAGUUUCUCUUCUCAUGAAUUAUUUGAAAUGCUGCCACUGUAAUAUGCUACAUUAAAAAAAAACUUUACCU